CAGCAGCCGCGGUAAUACGUAGGGUGCAAGCGUUAAUCGGAAUUACUGGGCGUAAAGCGUGCGCAGGCGGUCCGCUAAGACAGAUGUGAAAUCCCCGGGCUUAACCUGGGAACUGCAUUUGUGACUGGCGGGCUAGAGUAUGGCAGAGGGGGGUAGAAUUCCACGUGUAGCAGUGAAAUGCGUAGAGAUGUGGAGGAAUACCGAUGGCGAAGGCAGCCCCCUGGGCCAAUACUGACGCUCAUGCACGAAAGCGUGGGGAGCAAACAGGAUUAGAUACCCGCGUAGUCCCUGUCUCUUAUAC
rnacentral:rRNA from 1 species